rnacentral:misc_RNA from 1 species
UUUCCGUAGGUGAACCUGCGGAAGGAUCAUUAGUGAAUUGAAUUUGUUAGUGGACUUCUUCGGCGUCUCUAUCACCAACUUAUAUCCAUAACACCUGUGUAUUGUAAGGGUGUUUUGAAAACGUAAGUGAUUAGAGCGACUGCCCAUAUUAUACAUGCAUAAAAGUAAACAAAGUAGUCUUAUUUUUAUCUAAUAAUACUUUCAACAACGGAUGUCUUGGUUCACGUAUAGAUGAUAAACGUGGAAGAUCGGAAGAGACCAGCUAUGAAGACCAGUCAC